rnacentral:rRNA from 1 species
UACGUAGGGUGCAGGCGUUAAUCGGAAUUACUGGGCGUAAAGCGUGCGCAGGCGGUUAUGCAAGACAGAUGUGAAAUCCCCGGGCUCAACCUGGGAACUGCAUUUGUGACUGCAUAGCUAGAGUACGGUAGAGGGGGAUGGAAUUCCGCGUGUAGCAGUGAAAUGCGUAGAUAUGCGGAGGAACACCGAUGGCGAAGGCAAUCCCCUGGACCUGUACUGACGCUCAUGCACGAAAGCGUGGGGAGCAAACGGG